rnacentral:lncRNA from 1 species
CCUUGAAGUAAAUCGAUGGCCUACCGAGGGGACUGUUUUGACGGGGACAACACUCAUUUGGAUGUGUAAGUCUAGAACGUUUGUUACGAAACCAGUCCCGCCUCUCCAUGGUCCCAGCUUCCGUACAGGUUUGUUGACUUCCAUUCAAGUCUCAGGUCCUUGGCUCAGGAGCUCCGCUCCCGUACAGCGCGUCCGGGCGUGAGAACAGAAGCCAAGGCAAGUGUUUGCUUUGGAACAAAGAAGGGCUGGGAUGGGUCUCUGGAGGCGCUCGCCAUUUCAGAAAAAGGAGUCAUCUGUUUCUCAUAAGAUGGAGUGCUGGGCGUGGAAUCCAUGUUCCCAAACUGUCUGGAAUCGCUCGUGACUGGUCUGGCCACAGCUCCUGCGGGUCGGGAGGGGCUGAAGUAGGACCCCGCCACCCUAGACCUUGAAAAUGGACUUGCAUUUCCUUCGAGCCUUCAAAGAACUCGCUCUCCUGAUGCCGCUGAAAGUACCAGCCUGGUUGCAGAAAGCCCCACGUGGAACCUCGCCUCCGAUGGACCCGGCCGCCGUGCCCAGGGAAAGGUGCUUUCCAGAGAGGUUAUUCCUCCCUAGUGAGCUCUCAUGCUCAUGUUUUUGUUCCUAGCACCACCACCAUUUCAUUAAACUUUACUUAAAAAAAAAAAAAAACGCACCCACAGCUCAGAGUUUCGUUUUUAUUUUAUUUAUUUAUUUAUUUUUUUGAGGAAGAUUAGCCCUGAGCUAACUGCUGCCAAUCCUCCUCUUUUUGCUGAGGAAGACUGGCCCUGAGCUAACAUCCGUGCCCGUCUUCCUCUACUUUAUAUGUGGGAUGCCUACCACAGCAUGGCUUGCCAAGCAGUGCCACAUCCGCACCCUGGAUCUGAACCGGCGAACCCCGGGCCGCCGAAGUGGAAUGUGGGAACUUAACUGCUGUGCCACCAGGCUGGCCCCUGUGCUUGAGUUUUUUACUCAGCCAGGAAGUGAACUUCCUCUGUCAUUUCAUUUGCCAGAACUAGUCCCGUGGCCCCACCCAACUGCAGGGGGCUGAGACUCCCGUGUCCCGGGAAGGGGAGAGGACUGGAUGGUGGUGGCUGUAGGUGACUUCGAGCACAGGCAGGUUUAGUAACUUGCAUGUAGUUGACAUCAAGGUGUAAACCAAGUUCUGCCUAAAGCCAAAGUUCAGGCUCUGACGGUGACCCUUGGAGCCGGGGAGAGGAAUCCCUCCCCUCCAGCCUCAGUCAGCAGCACUGUGUGAGCAUCCCUGGUGGGACCCUGCUGG